rnacentral:rRNA from 1 species
CUUCCAGACUCCUACGGGAGGCAGCAGUGAGGAAUAUUGGUCAAUGGGCUUACGCCUGAACCAGCCAAGUCGCGUGAGGGAAGACGGUCCUAUGGAUUGUAAACCUCUUUAGGCGGGGAGCAAUGCCGGGCACGCGUGUCCGGAGGGAGAGUACCCGCAGAAUAAGCAUCGGCUAACUCCGUGCCAGCAGCCGCGGUAAUACGGAGGAUGCGGGCGUUAUCCGGAUUUAUUGGGUUUAAAGGGUGCGUAGGCGGAUUUUUAAGUCAGCGGUAAAAUGUCCGGGCUCAACCCGGGCCGGCCGUUGAAACUGGGUGCCUUGAGUGGGCGAGAAGUACGCGGAAUGCGUGGUGUAGCGGUGAAAUGCAUAGAUAUCGCGCAGAACUCCGAUUGCGAAGGCAGCAUGCCGGCUCCACACUGACGCUGAGGCACGAAAGCGUGGGUAUCGAACAGGAUUAGAUACCCCGGUAAA